ensembl:snRNA U2 U2 spliceosomal RNA
AUCGCUUCUUGGCCUUUUGGCUAAGAUCAAGUGUAAUAUCAUAUUAUAUGAAAUAAUUAUAUCAAAGAUGUAUCUGCACUUCCAUAUCUAUU